CCUACGGGAGGCAGCAGUGGGGGAUAUUGGACAAUGGGGGGAACCCUGAUCCAGCGACGCCGCGUGAGUGAAGAAGUAUUUCGGUAUGUAAAGCUCUGUCAGCAGGGAAGUAAGAAAUGACGGUACCUGACCAAGAAGCCCGGGCUAACUACGUGCCAGCAGCCGCGGUAAUACGGAGGGGGCAAGCGUUAUCCGGAAUUACUGGGUGUAAAGGGAGCGUAGACGGUUAAGUAAGUCUGGAGUGAAAGGCCGGGGCCCAACCCCGGGACUGCUCUGGAAACUAUUGAACUUGAGUGCAGGAGAGGUAAGCGGAAUUCCUAGUGUAGCGGUGAAAUGCGUAGAUAUUAGGAGGAACACCAGUGGCGAAGGCGGCUUACUGGACUGUAACUGACGUUGAGGCUCGAAAGCGUGGGGAGCAAACAGGAUUAGAUACCCGUGUAGUC
rnacentral:rRNA from 1 species